UGUUGGUGUGUAAUGUAGUGUGCUUGGUCUUGGGUGGGCAAGGGCUGUCUACGUGCCGUGGAGGAUCAAGGGAAAUGUUGUGCAUGUUGGGCUUUUAUCGGAGCGGAAGCCAUCACAGCUUUAUACUACAUUAAGUUGCAGAAGGUGAACCCUCUGUCAAAGCAACAAGUCAUUAAUUGCUUGUAUACCAAACUAGAGGAGCCAAAAGAUAUUAAAUAUUGUGAGACAACAAAAUGCUUUCCUAGUCACUACAAUAAAUACUACAAAUUUGCUAUCGAGGAAGGUAUCUAUUCGGAUAAGUCAUAUCCCUAUGUUGAAAAGAGGAAUGAAUGUCAUAAUCAACCAAGUGAGGAAAAAACAAAAAUUAAGGAGUUUAAGAGGGUUGAAGAUCUUAAGUUGGACAAAGGAGAAAUUGAAAAUUUAAUUCGGCAACAACCCAUCAGUGGAUGUGUAAAGAAUGUGAGGAGCUUUAAAAAACAUACUGGAAAGGAUAUUUAUAAAGGUCCAACCAAACUGGAGAUUCACUUUGAAAACGAACUUAAAAGAAAAAAUGAGCCGACUGAAGGGCGUCAUGCGGUGCUGAUUGUGGGCUUUGGCACUGAAAAUGGAAUUGAAUACUAUCUAAUUAAAAAUAGUUGGGGCGUGAACUGGGGUUACUGGGGAUAUGCUCGGGUUGAGAGGAGUGUUGUUACGAGCUUGUCGUUUCGGGAGCUUUGAUGUGUAGAUAGGCUUUGAUUUAUGGCUGGGUUAACUAUCUUUUUACUGUUGUUUUGUGCUACUGUUGCAGUUUUUUGUAGAUAACUUUGGUUCCUGGCUGGGAUAGCUAUUUCUUUACAGUUGUUUUGCGCUACUGCUGCAGUUAUUUUGUUAAAAAUUAAGACUGCUAGAUGAAUUUGUUGUCUAUACGUGUCGUGUGUUUGUCUGAAUUACAAUCAUAUGAAACUGUGUAGCAACAUCAAUGGGGACAACCAAAAUCCUCGAUUCUUAACUGAAACGAUAUGCAUGUUUAUGGUCAUGCCAAUCGCUGAUUAUGUCAGCUAUGAUGUUUGUAAGACCUUCCUAAUUGAACAAUUUUGGCUC